rnacentral:rRNA from 1 species
AUUAAACGCUGGCGGCAUGCCUUACACAUGCAAGUCGAACGGCAGCACGGGGGCAACCCUGGUGGCGAGUGGCGGACGGGUGAGUAAAGCAUCGGAACGUAUCCUGGAGUGGGGGAUAACGUAGCGAAAGUUACGCUAAUACCGCAUAUUCUGUGAGCAGGAAAGCAGGGGAUCGCAAGACCUUGCGCUCUGGGAGCGGCCGAUGUCGGAUUAGCUAGUUGGUGGGGUAAAGGCCUACCAAGGCGACGAUCCGUAGCGGGUCUGAGAGGAUGAUCCGCCACACUGGGACUGAGACACGGCCCAGACUCCUACGGGAGGCAGCAGUGGGGAAUUCUGGACAAUGGGCGGAAGCCUGAUCCAGCCAUGCCGCGUGAGUGAAGAAGGCCUCGGGUUGUAAAGGUAC